CCCAGGUUCCUGGACCCGGACUCCUGGACUCGGAUGAUUCAGAAAGUGAGGGAGAAGACCUGGCCAGCCCUGCUUCUCUUGAGCCCUUUCCCUCCCUGGCACCCACUCAAAGGGAGGAGGAGGGGCCGGCAAAGCCUGAUUCCAUGGAGCCUCCUUCUGAUUUGGCAAUGCCCCAAGAACAGUUUUGGAGUGAUGCAAGGUUACGUAGGCGUGAUCGGCGUGCGCAGCAGCGGAAGAGUUGGGACAAAGCCAAGUCAUAAUUGUCAUGCAGUGACAUCUGCAGAGACUAUAAAUAGGAGGCGGGACUUCCUGGUUUUUUGUCUUGGACAAAGUAAUGAAUUUGGGCAGGCAAUCUGUAUCAACGGAGGGAAGAAUAUAUUCGGCCACAGUAACUUCGAACAGUUGCUAACAAAAUGCUUGUAAAGUGAGGACUGCUUGAAUCUUUGUUUGCUUUGGUUAAAUAAAGGUGAAAUCCAGACCUGUCAAAAGAUCCCACUAAAUAUACGAAUAUGAUACCACUGAAUAGGCAUCACAACCAAACUCUUCAGACACUAUUGUUAACUGUGUGAAAAUGUGCAUCUGGCAUACAAUAUAUCUUAAAUGCUUAGAUUACUUACUGAUGAAUCUGGGAAGUGCUCAUCUUCUUGAGAAAAGGAGUUAUUAAAAGCCCUAAAUGUU